CCCCCACCUCACUCGCACACAUACUCCCCCACGCUGGUUCCCACAAAUAGUUCCAGCAGAAAUGUUGCUUUUUCUCUCCCCCCCCACCCCCCAAGAAAGGAAAGAGAAAGUCCAACCAGCACGGCAAGACUUUUAAGCUGUCCUAAAUGAUCGUAUCCUUUCUGGCUUCGAAACUUUUGUACCUAAAAAUCGAGAGAGGCGCUGCAUGUUUUCAGCUGAAACUGUCAAAACUUGGAGAAAGGGGACUCGGAGGCAGGCAGCAGAGGAGGAGAAUCCUGAAACUCGGUGGAGGUUGGGAAGAUGCUGUGCCUCCAGGAUUAGUUUAAACAGGGGGCUAUAAAAGAUGUAACAGAUGCAAACUGUAACACAAGGGCCAUUAACCCUUUCUCUGCCGAGCACACUCGGUCCCCACGCCCCGCACCUAUUGUCUCCUGUGCGAGCAGCUUUGCGGAAAACCUGGAAAUUUUGGCCAGAAAUGGUGAGAAGAAAAAGCAUGAAGAAGCCGCGAAGUGUGGGGGAGAAAAAGGUGGAAGCGAAGAAACAGCUCCCGGAGUAAACUGCACAAAACCUCGCCAAGAGUGUCGGGAGGCAGGACCGUUAUUCCUGCGGAGCAGGAGAGAGAGGAGAGACCCUGAAACACGCGCCACCUAUCUUUGUGGGGAGGGAUAAUUGAAGCGCCCUGAGCGUGAGCAUCAUGUGAAAACGUGAUCGCCAAGUUUCUCUCUGGGAAAGGAUCUGGGAUAGAUUAUACCUUGAAGUCUCC